rnacentral:rRNA from 1 species
GACGAACGCUGGCGGCGUGCUUAACACAUGCAAGUCGAACGGAAAGGCCCUGCUUUUGUGGGGUGCUCGAGUGGCGAACGGGUGAGUAACACGUGAGUAACCUGCCCUUGACUUUGGGAUAACUUCAGGAAACUGGGGCUAAUACCGGAUAGGAGCUCCUGCUGCAUGGUGGGGGUUGGAAAGUUUCGGCGGUUGGGGAUGGACUCGCGGCUUAUCAGCUUGUUUGUGGGUAGUGGCUUACCAAGGCUUUGACGGGUAGCCGGCCUGAGAGGACGACCGGCCACAAUAGGACUGAGAUACGGCCCAGACUCCAACGGGAGGCAGGCGUGGAGAAUUUUGCACAAUGGGCGGAAGCGUGAUGCAGCAACGCCGCGUGCGGGAUGACGGCAUUCGGGUAGUAAACCGCUUUCGCCUGUAACGAAACGUGAGUGACGGUAAUGGGUAAAGAAGCACGGGCUAACUACGUG